UACGUAGGGUGCGAGCGUUAAUCGGAAUUACUGGGCGUAAAGCGUGCGCAGGCGGUCGUUCAAGUCGCGUGUGAAAGCCCCCGGCUCAACUGGGGAGGGUCAUUCGAUACUGAUCGACUCGAAGGCAGGAGAGGGUAGUGGAAUUCCCGGUGUAGUGGUGAAAUGCGUAGAUAUCGGGAGGAACACCAGUGGCGAAGGCGACUACCUGGCCUGUUCUUGACGCUGAGGCGCGAAAGCUAGGGGAACAAACGGG
rnacentral:rRNA from 1 species